rnacentral:rRNA from 1 species
UCCAAGUUCUGGUGCCAGCAGCCGCGGUAAUUCCAGCUCCCCUAGUGUAAAUCAUCAUUGUUGCGGUUAAAAAGCUCGUAGUUGAAAUCGAGUCAUGCAGCUUGGAAACGGCUUUGCCGAUAUUCUUUGCGGUGACUAUUUUGUCGGUACUUCUGCAGGUUACUUCGGUGCCUGUAGUGUCCGGCGAGUUUACUUUGAAUAAAUUAAAGUGCUUAAGACAAGCGUUUGCUUGAAUAUCUUAGCUAGGAAUAAUAAAACAGGACUACGGUUCUAUUUAUUGGUUCAGAAUUCGUGGUAAUGAUUAAUAGGGACAGUUCGGGGGCAUUCGUAUUUCUGCGCGAGAGGUGAAAUUCGGUGACCGCAGGAAGACGUCCUGAAGCGAAAGCUAUUGCCAAGUCUGUCUUCUUUAAUCAAGAACGAAAGUCAGAGGUUCGAAGGCGAUUAGAUACCGCCCUAGUUCUGACCGUAAACUAUGCCAUCUAGCGAUUCGAUGAGGCUUUUAUUGCCUUGUCGAGGAGCUUUCCGGAAACGAAAGACUUUCGGUUCCGGGGGUAGUAUGGUUGCAAAGCUGAAACUUAAAGAAAUUGACGGAAGGGCACCACCAGGAGUGGAGCCUGCGGCUUAAUUUGACUCAACACGGGAAAACUCACCCGGUCCGGACACCGUUAGGAUUGACAGAUUGAAAGCUCUUUCUCGAUUUGGUGGUUGGUGGUGCAUGGCCGUUCUUAGUUGGUGGAGUGAUUUGUCUGGUUUAUUCCGAUAACGAGCCGAGACUCAA